CCGAGACCCGCCCCGAGGAUCCGCCUCGAGUCCGAGGACCGCCCCCAGCCCGCCCCAAGACCAGCCCUGAGCCCGAGGACCCUCCCCGAUUAGCUAAAAGGACCGGCUUUCGGCGCGCCCUGAGCCCAGCGAUCCUCCCCAGGCCCACGGAUCCUCCAAAAGCCCACCCCGAGGAUCCGCCCCCGACCCUCUACCACAUCUAGGAUCUGCCCUCGAGGACUCACAGCAGAGUGCAGGUGAGCGUGCAGCAAGAGGUGCCAUGUUUGGAGACAGCAGACCCUCACCUGAUAUUGAAUCUGCAGUAAAUUGAUCUUGGACUUUA